AGAGGUAAGCAAGUGAUCUCUAUUCAGGAAGCUAAAGACAGGUCAAGAUAAACUGUAAUUAGGCUCUGAACUUGCAACACUACAGCCUCUGCAAAAUCAUUUAAGUUUUCCUUUAAAAAUGAUUUAUUGGGCUGGUGAGAUGGCUCAGCAGGUAAGAGCACUGACUGCUCUUCCGAAGGUCCUGAGUUCAAAUCCCAGCAACCACAUGGUGGCUCAAAACCAUCCGUAAUGAGAUCUGACGCCCUCUUCUGGAGCGUCUGAAGACAGCUACAGUGUACUUACAUAUAAUAAAUAAAUGAAUCUUUUAAAAAAUGAUUUAUUUACUUUUUAUGUGAACGAGUGUUUGCCUGCAUGCAUGUAUGUGCACCACCUUUGUGCCUGGUUCCGGAAGAGGCCAAGAUGAUGGUGUCAGAUCCCGUAGAACUGGAGUUCCAGAUGGUUGUGAGCCACCAUGUGGGCAAUAAGAACUAAACCCAGGUCCUCUCCAAGUGCAGCAAGUGCUCGUAACUGCUGCUGAGCCACCUCCCCGGUGCCAUUACUGAAGUUCUAAUCAGUAAACCAACCUUGCGAAGGCUCAGUGGAAGGUAUGGCUUCUUUCCAGACCCUCUGUUCAAAAAGUCAAGUUUAAAACAUCUGCAGGCAAAACACUCAGAUAUACAAGCUAGGUAAGUCUAGAAGCAAGCAAACACCACCCUGAAGGCCUGCAAGAGGGAGUAAAGGUGCCUGUUGCCAAGCCUGGUGGCCUGAGUUGAGUUCCCAAGCAACACAUGAUGAAAAGCUAUUCCUGCAGGUUGUCCUACAAGGCACACAGGUAGCAUGGCAUACAUCUGCUCCCCACUCCACAUGUGAACCAAAAAAAAUGAUUUUUUAAAAAAGGCUAUGUUGUCACAGCAGUCACAUUGUGCGUGGUGGUACAUGCCUACAGACUUAGUUGGAAGGCUUACUUGAACCCAGGUGUUUGAGAUGAGACUGUGCCGCACAAGACAUUACAGAAGUACUUGUGUGGCUUCUUCUUUGGGAAAACACCCAGAUGAUGCCAGUGCAGAGGGAGGGCCCGGUGGACCAGGAUGAGGGGCUUGUGGAGGUAAAGCCGAAGACAAGGAGUGGAUCCUGGUCAAGGAUAUGAAGUUCAAGUCUCUGGAGGAACUCAUCCUGUUCUUCCUGCCCAAUUAGGAAUCCAAAAUUAUUGGCUUUUCCUUGGGCACAUCCCUAAAGAGUGAGGUUCUAUACAUUCCACUUGUGCAGGAGCAGACUCGGGCGACGAGUGGACCAGGUUUAAGUCCUUUGGUGGCUAUUGAGGACUACAACG
rnacentral:lncRNA from 1 species